rnacentral:rRNA from 1 species
AGUGAACGCUGGCGGUAGGCCUAACACAUGCAAGUCGAACGGCAGCACAGUAAGAGCUUGCUCUUACGGGUGGCGAGUGGCGGACGGGUGAGGAAUACAUCGGAAUCUACUUUUUCGUGGGGGAUAACGUAGGGAAACUUACGCUAAUACCGCAUACGACCUACGGGUGAAAGCAGGGGAUCUUCGGACCUUGCGCGAUUGAAUGAGCCUAUGUCGGAUUAGCUAGUUGGCGGGGUAAAGGCCCACCAAGGCGACGAUCCGUAGCUGGUCUGAGAGGAUGAUCAGCCACACUGGAACUGAGACACGGUCCAGACUCCUACGGGAGGCAGCAGUGGGGAAUAUUGGACAAUGGGCGCAAGCCUGAUCCAGCCAUACCGCGUGGGUGAAGAAGGCCUUCGGGUUGUAAAGCCCUUUUGUUGGGAAAGAAAAGCAGCAGGUUAAUACCCCGCUGUUCUGGCGGUACCCAAAGAAUAAGCACCGGCUAACUUCGUG